UUCAUAAUUGCAUACUAUCUGAACUAGCUAAUAUAGCUAGUAUCACCUAAAGCAUGUUAGUUACAGUAGCUAGCUAUAAAAAGAUUAGCUAGCUAUCCUCACGUUGUAGCUAAAUAUAAUUUAUUUGUUCCCAUUCUAGUCUGUUCCCACUCAAUGAUGACAUCUCCCAUCACUCAAUAAUGACAUCUCCCAUCACUCAAGGAAGAAAUCUCAUAACGGCUAACAUCAGGGGUACCCUUGUGUCUUAUCAUGAACGGGGUAUGAAAAGGAGGUCCUCAGCCCUGGUGACGGAGGCUGCUGCGGCUACAGGACUACCUGUGUCUGUAGUUAAGAACUGUGGGUAACUAUGGGUGUUCACGUAAUACCUCCUGCAACACCAGGCGACGCAAAGCUGCUGGUCAUAAGCGCAGCGUGUCUGCCUAUAACUUGUUUUGCGCAGAGCUGCUGGAGGGGAAAGACAUGUAUUCUCAGAUUAAUGUUUAUUCCAACAUAAAAAAUGUAGUCCUACAUUCGGAUGUGAAAUGUUGAUAAUUGCUCUAUCAUUUUCACCUCUCGAUUAAAUAAUGUGUCUUUCCACACAUUAGAUAUAAUAUAUUCCUAAUUUCAAAUAAGACUGUUUCCCGCUGGAUUAUUUUUAAAGUAAGAGUAUUAUUUAAAUAAUUAUAUUAACUGAUAAUACCAACAUGUUUUAAGCAGAACACCAUAGUGCCUGUGCCCAAGAACACUAAGGUAACCUGCCUAAAUGACUACCAACCCUUAACACUCACGUCUGUAGCCAUGAAGUGCUUUGAAAGGCUGGUCAUAGCUCACAUCAACACCAUCAUCCCAGAAACCCUAGACCCACUCCAAUUUGCAUACCGCCCCAACAGAUCCACAGAUGAUGCAGUUUCUAUUGCACUCCAUUACUGCCCUUUCCCACCUGGACAAAAGGAACACCUAUGUGUGAAUGCUAUUCAUUGACUACAGCUCAGCGUUCAACACCAUAGUGGCCUCAAAGUUAAGGACCCUGGGACU